rnacentral:hammerhead_ribozyme from 1 species
GCAUGCUGACGAGUCCAAAACGGGACGAAACAGCCGUACAGUGC